UUUAUGACAUUGCCUUUCUAUAUAUAUAUAUAUCAUUCAGCAGGGGACCUCAGCACAGUAAGCUGAAACUCUCAUAGCUCCAGGACAUGGCCAUUUGACUGAGUCCUUGUCAGAGAGACAUUUAAUAUGUCAAGGUGAAUAAGAACAGCUUCUUUUGUGCGUCUCAUUUGUGUCCGAGCUCAGAGGAAAUUGAGCGGUUCUUGGCAUAAUAAGCUUCAAUGCCAAUUAAUCUUCUUGGAGUGUUUUAUUAAACGUUUGCAACUGAAAUCCAUUUUCAGCACUCAGUUUCACAGUAAGGCACUAGGCAAUUUGCAGAAGGUCAAAUAUUAAAUGAGCUCUUAUUGUUUUCUGUUAUUAUUAUUAUCUAAUAUUUUUAUCCUAUUAUUUCAGCUCACAGUCACAUGAGGUUAAAGCCGUCAAAAACGUGAUGUCCUCUAAAAACAACCCGAUCAGUUUGACGUCCAUGAGUCACUUGUGCCAGUUUAACCUCCUGUCACUAUUUUCAGCGCAUAUUUCAGAGGGUCUUAUAAUAGAAGCCCAAAAUAACAAGCGGAGGUUUAUUAUCAUUGUCUAUUUAGUGAGGGUAAAUAUCAUCACAUCUCUAAAUCUAAGGGCUAAUCUAGGGUCAGUUUUGCCUUAUCCAGAACGGAAGUGAUCCUGAAACGGACAUCUGAGACUCUAGAUAUCCAUAUGGACCCAGAUCAGCAGGGGGAAGUGAGUAUUCUCACCAGAGAACAUUCAAUGCCAGUACGACUUCACCACUCGCAGCCUCGGAGGGAGCCGUUAAUGACAAUUCACAGCCAACUUCCAUCUCUUGGGCUGCUGAAUCCCUGCGUUUAGAAGCAUCUAAAAUUCAUGACAGAUUUGUUAUAAUCCCAGGCAGAGCUACACAGCAGUGUUCUCUAAACUCAACUGACAGCACACUGUACAAGAAGAGUCUUUAAAGACCUCAUCAACAGGCAGUGUGCUAAAUACGGCACACAAUAUUUUUUUUUCCCUCCUCUCCCAACCUACAUAUAGCCAUGUUUUUGUGAGUAUGAACCCUUUUUUCCCACUUUGAUCUCUGUGAUUGUGGAGGGGCCCUCCAUCCAUGUGAUAAACAGCAGCUUGACUCCCUUCGCCAGCCCAUGCAUGUGUUUCUGGGAGCGACUCUGACCCCUUGGAUGUUAAAAUCGCUGGUGUGUGCGUAAAUGUGGGGGCCGACUCUCUGCUGUGAGAUGUACAGGGUCAUACAUGCAUGUGUGGGUGGUAGUAUAUAUCUGUCUCUCUCUGUUUCUGCCAACCGCACUGUACUCACUAUGCAAGAGAGAGAGAGAGAGAGAGAGAGAGAGAGAGAGAGAGAGAGAGAGAGAGAGAGAGAGUAGAUGCGUUUAUGAUGAAUCUUCUUAAAAAAAAUACUAUAUGCAUGAGCACAUCAAUAAAUAAUUUGUGUUAUUUAAAGCAUCAGUAGUAAUUACUCUCUAUUGACAUGGAAAUUACUUUUUUAGAACCUGUUUGAGGAAACGAGGAGACUUACGUAAUGUGGUAAAAGCACUCAAAUAUCUGCCAAUGCCACCUGGUGGACUCGAUUCAGGGAGGGAAAAUCUCGUGUUCUGAUUGGACGGUGACGUGUGUAGAAACAUCUGGUGUUGUAGAAGGGUAUUUGUGAGGUCACGGGGACGACACGGCCAGAUGCCUGAAGGCGCUGCUGGAGACUUGGACAGGAAGACAAUCGCUCUGAUAACUGCCGCAGCGAGCUGGCCCUCGACUCUGUGAAUACACAGCGUACAUUUCCUUACAGAGUUACACAUAUUUCUGAUGACUGAUGUGCAUUUUGAGAUACAGUGUUAAAAGAUUAUGAUGAAAACGUACUAUACUUGUGGUUAGAGAUUGGAAAACACCUACACUUACAGCAAAGGUCACACAAAAUAAACAUUUGUCGAAAAUGUAGUUCAAACAGCUGAUAAAAACAUACACAAGUAAUCCACACAACUCCAGUCCAUCAAUUAAUAUCUUGUGAAGUGAAAAGACGCUUGUUUGUAAGAAACCAAUCCAUAAAUCAUUGCUUCUGGCCAAAAUACCAGUUCAUAAUCCAUAAUAACACUUUCUCUGUAAAAAGACUAUCCCCUGUUGUCCUCUUACAUCAAAAUCCAUAGACAUAUUUGUGUAGAUCUGUUUUGGACUUAUAAUAUUUUUUAUCUUGUAAACACUGCCUAAUCUGUGCAUGUU
rnacentral:lncRNA from 1 species